UUGUGGAGGAGGACGCCGAAGGUGGGGCUAAUGACUGGGGUGAAGUCGUAACAAGGUAGCCGUACUGGAAGGUGCGGCUGGAUCACCUCCUAACAGGGAGACAACACAAUGUUAAAUAUUAAUUUUGUCACCUUAGGUCGAUCGGUAUCUCACAUUCUUAAUUCAUUAAGGAUUUCAUUUCCUAAGUUUUUUCUAGGUCACACCCAUUACUUUUUCCUGGGCCAUUAGCUCAGGUGGUUAGAGCGCACCCCUGAUAAGGGUGAGGUCCCUGGUUCAAGUCCAGGAUGGCCCAUAUCUCUAUGUUGGGGGUAUAGCUCAGUUGGUAGAGCGCCUGCUUUGCAAGCAGGAUGUCAGCGGUUCGAGUCCGCUUACCUCCACUGAUCACCACCUCUUCCAUAAUUUAUAGAAGGGAAAUGUAUUGAGUUGUGAUCAAAUUCUGAACGAAUCUAGCUUCCUAAUUAUCUUUAUUAAGAUGCUGGACUCAUUGAAUUAAUUUCAUUGUUUUCAGAGAACCUUGACAACUGCAUAGAUUAUUUUUAAAGACAAUAAGCAUCUUUAAUGAUGCAGAUUUAUUAUUUGUGCGAAUGCAUUAAUAACAAUUCUAUUAAGCUGAUGCUUCAAUUUUGAAGUUAUUGGUCAAGCUACAA
rnacentral:misc_RNA from 1 species